AUCGCAAUGAAGCCACAUCUUUCUACAACUUUUGAAAGAAGCAGAAGUGAUCCAGUAGGUCCGACCCACCUGCAAGGGGAGAGGCUUACGCAAGAGCAUGAAAACCUGAGGACAGAGACCACCAGGACCAACAAAGGCUGCGGACCACAGAGACACUCUUUAUUCAUGGAAUAAACCUGGAGCCUGAUUCUCCCACGGCGAGCCUCCUGAAAUGAUAGAAGCUAUGGAGGGAGGCCACAUGUCAGCAUUAUUAUUGUUCAUCAUUCAUUCAGGCCCACAAAAGCGAGAGCAUCUCCAUACGGGUGUGGAUUUUAAAAUCAGGAAAGCAGGCCAGACUGAAUUCAUGCUUAGGCACAGCUGCUCAGAACUGACCACCCUAAGGGGCCCACUGUUAAUAACUCAUCCUUUCUGAUGAUCCGCCCACCGCCUGUUGUGGCUGCUGCCACUGUUCAGCUCUGUCCCCUGCCCUGAGAAACAUGUGCUGCCAGAGGUUCGUCCUCACAAUAAUAACCGCUAACGCUGAGUGAGAGCAUGUGAUGGUCAAGUACAGAGUCUGGCACUUUAUGUUCAUCACCGUGUUUCAUCCUCACCACGACCCUGUUCUGUGGAUCGGGCUGGACGCAUCAGGAGGUGGGAGUCCCUGUCGUCUGGGCACUGAUCAGUGCCUGAAUGCUCUCAGGGACACUCCCCUUCAUUAAAGCAGACAGUUAGACAUUAACAGCUCUCAUGACUCAAUAUAUAACUGAAUCGUUAUAUUAUGGGCACAUUGCACAACUGUUCACUUAGAAAAUCUAAAAGAAUCAGCUAAAAACUAUUAGAAAAACUUAGUGAAGUGUAUAAAAUGAAACACUACCAUGCCACUUUAGGACUCU
rnacentral:lncRNA from 1 species